CCUUGAUCCUUCUGCAGAAGGAUGUAGUACACUUUCCACUCAUCUCCUUUCCCAUACCGUAUCUCUUGCAAGUCGUUUUCUCUUUUUGAUCUGGCUUGUUCUCUUUAAGGACAUCUUCAAUGUGUAUAUUAACAAUCAUUUUCCAAUGUUUUGGCUUCACCUCUUAUGCUGAGGUAAUAUCAGGAUGCUCUGACACUGGUGGCUGUGGCUGCCACCUAAGAAGCCUCCUUGCCAGCUCGUAAUUUGUUUCUUCCCUCUACCUCUUCAAGCCUCCCGGCAGACUUCCUUUUUUUGUUUUAAUGUGACUCUGCUUCGGGACACUUGCUUCUAGCCAUAACUGAGUGGCUAUAUUGGUCUAAUCUUCCCACUGAAAAUAAUUAUAAAGGCCUGAGAAGAUAAAUAAAGCAAGUAUUUGAAGGCAUCUGGGAGUAACCAACACAGAAAAGGACGUGGGGCUAUGAUUCCUGAGAGGAGGGAAGCAACUGAGAUUGCCAUUGUAUGGUGGUGGGAACCAACAGCCCUGGAGAAUGCCCCAGAUGGUGGGGCAUCUAUUUGGUGCAUGUUUAGGUUUGCCUGUCUACAUGCUAGCAAAUCUCUGAAGACAGCCAAAGCCUUCGGAAGGUCUUGUGAGGCUCUGAGGACUGAUAUAUGUGAGAAGAGCCUAGACUAAAUGCAGUUCCAGGAUCAUGUCACAUGCAUGAUCCAGUGUCUCCAGUGGAGACUUGGACUUAGAAGAUGCCCCCUAAAUACCUGUUGAAUACAAUUUAAAAAGAUGUUAAUUAUAAAAUAUUUCAUGGAGGUAGAACAUUUUUAUUAAUUUAUUCACUAAAUAUUUAUUGAGUAUUAUAAUUUUUUUGGCAAAAAAAAGCAUGAUACCAUUUUAGAACAAAACAAUUGGAGAGAGGGGAGGGAUUGUACUCAAAUAGCUAAACUUCAUAACUCGACACCUGUGUCAGGAAAGGUCACCUUUGCUCAAUAAAUACUUGAUAAUUUGCUGUCUAGAAUUAGUCAUGAUGUAUAAUUUAAC
rnacentral:lncRNA from 10 species